GUUCGGCGGCAUGACUAUUUAAACACAGGCUGAUUAUUCCUUUCUUUCUGCAACUAAUGUCCUUCCUCUGAGUGUCGGUAUGUGUAAUUGUGUUUAUUUUUUUUCCUUGCAGCCAUAUAUUGAGGCAAGUAAGAGGGUUAAAGAAAAAAGAGUGGCCCAAGAAAUGACGGGUGAUGAGGAAAACCAGGGCAUGCAAAAUGCAGAAAGAGGAAAGAAGCCUUCAUGUUCACGGAAUCAGAGCUGCCGCGCGGCUUUGCAGUCUGAUAGAGAAAAAUCCUGUGUUCAAAAUCUGUCAGUGAACUUUCAAGAAAGUCUCCUGGAAGGGAUUGACUGGAGUAAGUAAUGUGGUUCACCUAAGGACUCAAGAAUUUCGGGUGGGGUUUGUUUUUGAAAUCGGAGACUCUUUAUAUUCCGGGGAAGGUAGGUCUUGUACAUUUCUUAUAUAUGUUACAAUCUUGCCGGUCUUUCGUGUAUAUUUUGGAAAUCCGUUCCCCUGGAUGGAAAUGUGGUAGCCUAGCCCUUAUGUUUUUGGUGGUGAGCGGCUACAGACGGGGUUCGAAAAUGCAUCCUCAGACCCUUCCCUUAGUGUAAAGAAAGGUUUUUAGCUAAUCGUCUUUUGUUUCAACCGCGACUUUUCUUCCAUGAUAUUUCUAAACAAUCUCUCUCUCUGAAGAGAAUCUUCUCUUCUCAGAGGCAUGGAGAAUGAUCGACUGUGUUUACAAAUGUUUGAAAUGACAAAGUUGGUUUCGGCACAGAUAAAAUGCACCGUGUAGAGGACCGAUGGAUGCACGAGAAACGAGCUUACUGUCGAAUUUUGAAAUUUUGGUUACAGGUUAGAUCAUUGUAUCCUAGUGGACAAACGCCUAUGUAGGUAAGGGCGAACUUUUGUUAAAAUGUCUUGAAGCUAAAUGGAAAACAAAGAGAGUUCAUAGCUUUCAGGCGGAAAACGCUCCAGUCUCGGCAAUAAUUUCGCUCGUCACUUACUGCCUAUCACAAUUGGGCCUAGAUGUCAAUGAGAUUUUUUUAAGUCACCAAUUUAUUACGUGUUAAUCGUUUAUUAGAUGAAUAGUGUACUGUUUAAACACGUUUGUAAGCAUUUAAUAGACGAUGAUAGUACUCAAAACAAAUCUCGGUUGGAUGAGAGAAUUUCUAAGUAAAUCCGUAAGUUAAUUAAUCCAUUUUACAUCAACAUUCGCAUAAUCUGCAUGUUUGUAUGAAGACAUCUGGCUUUAGUUUUGGGGAUUACAAAUGUUGAAGGAGAGCAGAGUGAAGUCAUUGAAGUGAAAGCUAUCUCUCUGUGCAAACAUGAAGGCUGAGACCGAGACACAGAUCAUGGAUUCCAAUGCGACGAUUUCUGGGGCUGAUGGGAAGAGCUUCCUGGAGAACUCUGUGAGUGAAAGCUUCUAUCAGAGACUCAACAAGUUGCAUAACUCAUCUGGCCUGAACCUCCUCUUUCAGAGCCAUUAUGUGCGAAAAAUGGUGACGUUUUUUUUUCUAGAAUUGCAUAUGCCGCUUAGAAUCUGCAUCACUUGAAAUUACAUUUGUUGUACCGUAUAUUAGGCUUCAAUAUUGGGACCUCACUGCUUAGCCAUGUAAAAGCGGAAUGAAAUAUUGAGGUCCCACUACUUAGCCCAUGAUGUAUGUAAGAGGGGAAGGAAACCCUUAUUCUAUAAAAGGAUCCUUCACCCUCACUUUAGGAGGAGGGCAAAGAGAGCAAAUCCUAGCCUCUAUAGCCUCCAUGUACAUUGUAACUCUCAAUUUACAUAGUGAAACUGGAUCGACAA